rnacentral:rRNA from 1 species
CCGUAGCCCAAGAGAUCGGGAUAACACCUGGAAACAGAUGCUAAUACCGGAUAANAACAGAUGAUGCCUAUCAACUGUUUAAAAGAUGGUUCUGCUAUCACUCUUGGAUGGACCUGCGGUGCAUUAGCUAGUUGGUAGGGUAACGGCCUACCAAGGCGAUGAUGCAUAGCCGAGUUGAGAGACUGAUCGGCCACAUUGGGACUGAGACACGGCCCAAACUCCUACGGGAGGCAGCAGCA